UAAAUACUGAGAACUACAGUCCUGCAGAAUGUGGAUUACUGGAUAGGUGCUACAUCAGAUGUCUGUGUGGCUUUUUACUUUGGAGGCAGAGGCUGGGGCCAGAGGAACUGUGGAUUCACAGCGUGUUACAGACAUCAUGUAAAUAAAUGAGGAGUAGGCAGAUAGAGGAUCUGCUGAGAACAGUUCUCCUUGUAGAUGUUGUGUUCCCACCCUUCUCUGUGGGAAGCUUCUCCCAUGUGCAAACUUCUGAUGCACAUGUACAUGACACUCUGCUGAGGAAUACUGGAAAUCCUGUAGCACCAAAGAGCUGAACAUCUAAUGUCCAACAACCUCAUAAGAUAUGGUCCGUAUCUCACAAGACUGCUGUAUGAUUAGAAAAUAUUUUCUUUGUACUACUGCCAAAGAAUGUCUGCAGGGUUGCACAGCAAAUGUAGCAAAGGAACAUGUAGAUCUUUCCCUGGCAGCAUUUCUUGGCUCAGGCUUUCAAGUAUCUGAUGAUAUGACCUUUAGGAACCAUCACCCUGCAAUACAAUAAGGUUUGGUGUAUUCUGUUUGAAAUCGAGUGUUUGGAUAGUGGCUGAAGGCUUUGUGAAAUUCCUGAGUGAAAGGAACAACAUUUUCU